rnacentral:rRNA from 1 species
GGUUAAGCGACUAAGCGUACACGGUGGAUGCCCUGGCAGUCAGAGGCGAUGAAGGACGUGCUAAUCUGCGAUAAGCGUCGGUAAGGUGAUAUGAACCGUUAUAACCGGCGAUUUCCGAAUGGGGAAACCCAGUGUGUUUCGACACACUAUCAUUAACUGAAUCCAUAGGUUAAUGAGGCGAACCGGGGGAACUGAAACAUCUAAGUACCCCGAGGAAAAGAAAUCAACCGAGAUUCCCCCAGUAGCGGCGAGCGAACGGGGAGCAGCCCAGAGCCUGAAUCAGUGUGUGUGUUAGUGGAAGCGUCUGGAAAGGCGCGCGAUACAGGGUGACAGCCCCGUACACAAAAAUGCACAUGCUGUGAGCUCGAUGAGUAGGGCGGGACACGUGGUAUCCUGUCUGAAUAUGGGGGGACCAUCCUCCAAGGCUAAAUACUCCUGACUGACCGAUAGUGAACCAGUACCGUGAGGGAAAGGCGAAAAGAACCCCGGCGAGGGGAGUGAAAAAGAACCUGAAACCGUGUACGUACAAGCAGUGGGAGCACGCUUAGGCGUGUGACUGCGUACCUUUUGUAUAAUGGGUCAGCGACUUAUAUUCUGUAGCAAGGUUAACCGAAUAGGGGAGCCGAAGGGAAACCGAGUCUUAACUGGGCGUUAAGUUGCAGGGUAUAGACCCGAAACCCGGUGAUCUAGCCAUGGGCAGGUUGAAGGUUGGGUAACACUAACUGGAGGACCGAACCGACUAAUGUUGAAAAAUUAGCGGAUGACUUGUGGCUGGGGGUGAAAGGCCAAUCAAACCGGGAGAUAGCUGGUUCUCCCCGAAAGCUAUUUAGGUAGCGCCUCGUGAAUUCAUCUCCGGGGGUAGAGCACUGUUUCGGCAAGGGGGUCAUCCCGACUUACCAACCCGAUGCAAACUGCGAAUACCGGAGAAUGUUAUCACGGGAGACACACGGCGGGUGCUAACGUCCGUCGUGAAGAGGGAAACAACCCAGACCGCCAGCUAAGGUCCCAAAGUCAUGGUUAAGUGGGAAACGAUGUGGGAAGGCCCAGACAGCCAGGAUGUUGGCUUAGAAGCAGCCAUCAUUUAAAGAAAGCGUAAUAGCUCACUGGUCGAGUCGGCCUGCGCGGAAGAUGUAACGGGGCUAAACCAUGCACCGAAGCUGCGGCAGCGACACUAUGUGUUGUUGGGUAGGGGAGCGUUCUGUAAGCCUGUGAAGGUGUGCUGUGAGGCAUGCUGGAGGUAUCAGAAGUGCGAAUGCUGACAUAAGUAACGAUAAAGCGGGUGAAAAGCCCGCUCGCCGGAAGACCAAGGGUUCCUGUCCAACGUUAAUCGGGGCAGGGUGAGUCGACCCCUAAGGCGAGGCCGAAAGGCGUAGUCGAUGGGAAACAGGUUAAUAUUCCUGUACUUGGUGUUACUGCGAAGGGGGGACGGAGAAGGCUAUGUUGGCCGGGCGACGGUUGUCCCGGUUUAAGCGUGUAGGCUGGUUUUCCAGGCAAAUCCGGAAAAUCAAGGCUGAGGCGUGAUGACGAGGCACUACGGUGCUGAAGCAACAAAUGCCCUGCUUCCAGGAAAAGCCUCUAAGCAUCAGGUAACAUCAAAUCGUACCCCAAACCGACACAGGUGGUCAGGUAGAGAAUACCAAGGCGCUUGAGAGAACUCGGGUGAAGGAACUAGGCAAAAUGGUGCCGUAACUUCGGGAGAAGGCACGCUGAUAUGUAGGUGAGGUCCCUCGCGGAUGGAGCUGAAAUCAGUCGAAGAUACCAGCUGGCUGCAACUGUUUAUUAAAAACACAGCACUGUGCAAACACGAAAGUGGACGUAUACGGUGUGACGCCUGCCCGGUGCCGGAAGGUUAAUUGAUGGGGUUAGCGCAAGCGAAGCUCUUGAUCGAAGCCCCGGUAAACGGCGUACCGUAACUAUAACGGUCCUAAGGUAGCGAAAUUCCUUGUCGGGUAAGUUCCGACCUGCACGAAUGGCGUAAUGAUGGCUAGAGCUGUCUCCACCCGAGACUCAGUGAAAUUGAACUCGCUGUGAAGAUGCAGUGUACCCGCGGCAAGACGGAAAGACCCCGUGAACCUUUACUAUAGCUUGACACUGAACAUUGAGCCUUGAUGUGUAGGAUAGGUGGGAGGCUUUGAAGUGUGGACGCCAGUCUGCAUGGAGCCGACCUUGAAAUACCACCCUUUAAUGUUUGAUGUUCUAACGUAGGCUUUGAAGUGUGGACGCCAGUCUGCAUGGAGCCGACCUUGAAAUACCACCCUUUAAUGUUUGAUGUUCUAACGUUGACCCGUAAUCCGGGUUGCGGACAGUGUCUGGUGGGUAGUUUGACUGGGGCGGUCUCCUCCUAAAGAGUAACGGAGGAGCACGAAGGUUGGCUAAUCCUGGUCGGACAUCAGGAGGUUAGUGCAAUGGCAUAAGCCAGCUUGACUGCGAGCGUGACGGCGCGAGCAGGUGCGAAAGCAGGUCAUAGUGAUCCGGUGGUUCUGAAUGGAAGGGCCAUCGCUCAACGGAUAAAAGGUACUCCGGGGAUAACAGGCUGAUACCGCCCAAGAGUUCAUAUCGACGGCGGUGUUUGGCACCUCGAUGUCGGCUCAUCACAUCCUGGGGCUGAAGUAGGUCCCAAGGGUAUGGCUGUUCGCCAUUUAAAGUGGUACGCGAGCUGGGUUUAGAACGUCGUGAGACAGUUCGGUCCCUAUCUGCCGUGGGCGCUGGAGAACUGAGGGGGGCUGCUCCUAGUACGAGAGGACCGGAGUGGACGCAUCACUGGUGUUCGGGUUGUCAUGCCAAUGGCACUGCCCGGUAGCUAAAUGCGGAAGAGAUAAGUGCUGAAAGCAUCUAAGCACGAAACUUGCCCCGAGAUGAGUUCUCCCUGACCCUUUAAGGGUCCUGAAGGAACGUUGAAGACGACGACGUUGAUAGGCCGGGUGUGUAAGCGCAGCGAUGCGUUGAGCUAACCGGUACUAAUGAACCGUGAGGCUUAACCUU